ensembl:lncRNA
AUGUGGUGUUUCAUAGCUACUGAUGUGAGGUUGGAUGAGUUUUACAGAACACUGGUAAAAAUGCCAUUAAACCCAACGAGAAACUGUAGAACGGACUCGGUUUAUAUCACAAUACCUACAUUUAGAGUCGGUUAUUCAUUCAGUCUAAUGAGAAACUGUAGAACGGACUCGGUUUAUAUCACAAUACCUACAUUUAGAGUCGGUUAUUCAUUCAGUCUAAUGAGAAACUGUAGAACAGACUCGGUUUAUAUCACAAUACCUACAUUUAGAGUCGGUUAUUCAUUCAGUCUAAUGAGAAACUGUAGAACGGACUCGGUUUAUAUCACAAUACCUACAUUUAGAGCCGGUUAUUCAUUCAGCCUAAUGAGAAACUGUAGAACAGACUCGGUUUAUAUCACAAUACCUACAUUUAGAGUCGGUUAUUCAUUCAGUCUAAUGAGAAACUGUAGAACGGACUCGGUUUAUAUCACAAUACCUACAUUUAGAGUCGGUUAUUCAUUCAGUCUAAUGAGAAACUGUAGAACGGACUCGGUUUAUAUCACAAUACCUACAUUUAGAGUCGGUUAUUCAUUCAGUCUAAUGAGAAACUGUAGAACGGACUCGGUUUAUAUCACAAUACCUACAUUUAGAGUCGGUUAUUCAUUCAGUCUAACGAGAAACUGUAGAACAGACUCGGUUUAUAUCACAAUACCUACAUUUAGAGUCGGUUAUUCAUUCAGUCUAAUGAGAAACUGUAGAACAGACUCGGUUUAUAUCACAAUACCUACAUUUAGAGUCGGUUAUUCAUUCAGCCUAAUGAGAAACUGUAGAACAGACUCGGUUUAUAUCACAAUACCUACAUUUAGAGUCGGUUAUUCAUUCAGUCUAAUGAGAAACUGUAGAACGGACUCGGUUUAUAUCACAAUACCUACAUUUAGAGUCGGUUAUUCAUUCAGCCUAAUGAGAAACUGUAGAACAGACUCGGUUUAUAUCACAAUACCUACAUUUAGAGCCGGUUAUUCAUUCAGUCUAAUGAGAAACUGUAGAACGGACUCGGUUUAUAUCACAAUACCUACAUUUAGAGUCGGUUAUUCAUUCAGUGUAAUGAGAAACUGUAGAACGGACUCGGUUUAUAUCACAAUACCUACAUUUAGAGCCGGUUAUUCAUUCAGUCUAAUGAGAAACUGUAGAACGGACUCGGUUUAUAUCACAAUACCUACAUUUAGAGCCGGUUAUUCAUUCAGUCUAAUGAGAAACUGUAGAACAGACUCGGUUUAUAUCACAAUACCUACAUUUAGAGUCGGUUAUUCAUUCAGUCUAAUGAGAAACUGUAGAACAGACUCGGUUUAUAUCACAAUACCUACAUUUAGAGCCGGUUAUUCAUUCAGUCUAAUGAGAAACUGUAGAACAGACUCGGUUUAUAUCACAAUACCUACAUUUAGAGUCAGUUGA